rnacentral:lncRNA from 1 species
UCCAACUGAGCAAACCCCACAUUAAGGUGGGGUUUCACAAAUCAACACAAUAGUUUUUAUAAAGGUUUGACCUUUUUGCCUACGUUUUCUCCCUUAGAUUCAUUAAGGAGUUUAAAAUCUACUAUUGAAAUAAGAUUCAAUACAAUACCUUUUAUGGAUCAAGCAUAACCUUGCAGUACAAUGCCUUUGAUGGAUCAAGCACAACCAUUCUACCUUUUAAUUUGGCUAAGGCAUAAGCACUCAAACUACCUUUUUAACUUGGUUAAGGUAUAACCACUCAAGAUGUUAUAAUAAAUUAUGAGAGUAAAAGCUAAAAUGCCUCUUAAAAGCCAAAAAGCUAGAUGGGUACAAUGUUUGGUCAUGUCACGAUCUGGAACUCCCAUCGAACCCGUGACAAUCGCCGCGAUGUCCCGAUAGACAUUCAUUACCCGAAAUGCCAAUCGAAACCUCGCAAGGCUUAACAUCAGUUUUCUUGCUUCCCCUAUGAGUAUUAGUUACUAAAAUCAUGUUUUAAAGUGAUAUGAAGCAAUUUCAAUUCAAAAAUAGUCAAAGAGAAGUUUCAACUACAUAGGGGUAUUUUGGUCAUUUUUCCCAAAAAUUUUGAAACCAGCUAAAAUGUAGUAUAUGAGAGAAAUUUACACAUUUCAUAACUGAAAAUAAGUUUAGAUAUCUAAAACAUUCAUUUAAAGUGAAAUUAUAGCUAAAGGAAUAAAAUAAAAAUAAUGAAUAAAAUAUUCUAAUUUUUCAUAAAAUAAUUUUUAUAGAACGCUACGUAAAUAAUUUUUAUAGCGUAAAAGCAAAAUAAAUUCUUACAUACAGUAGCACACGCAGCCAGGUAUUCAAAACAUUUAACAAUGACAUGUGGGCCCCUGAAUGACUAAAAGUAAUGAAGGCUGUGAACCUACAGUUUUUGAGGAUGCAAGUCCAAUUGUAGCCCUCAACGAAAUGAGCUAUCUACCAACUAUCCUGAGCCUAAAAUGAGUGGAAAAGAGGAUGGUGAGAUUAUAUAAUCCCAAUGAGUAAACAAAUAUCAUCUAAAAUAACUAAAGCUGAGUAAAUGGAGACAGAUAAAAUAGAUUAGCAUAAAAAUGAUUCACAGCAUUUCGAAUUCAUUUUAAUAAGAUAAAAUAGAUUCAUUUCACCUAAAUAAACAACGAGGCUUAUGAUUUCUUGAAAAGCUUGACUCGUGCCAAAAUCAUUCUCAUACUCAGUUGUCAGGGAUACCUUGGCCUAGGGCUAUCCCAACCAAGUCCGCCAAGGCUAUUAAAAAGUCAUGUACGCAUAAAUCAUGUUUUUUAUUUUGAAAACAUAGUCGUUCCUUGGCGUUGGCUGAGUUCACCCUCACGUGGUGGUUCAGCGUGAAGUGAACUCUAAAGUUUUACCUCAGGAAUUACCCUACGCGCCUCUUCAACUGAGGUAAGAAUAUACCCGAAUUUCGUGCCCCUCAAAAAGGCUAGUCCACAGAACCCGCCACUUCAGUGACCAAUCUAUAACCCACCAAUUCAAUAAAAUUCAGCAGAAUGACAUGGCAAUUUUAUCAUUAUCCAGCCUAUCAAGGCAAACAACAGUUUAUGCAUUUUCAACACAAACACCCAUCCAGCCAUUCAUGCCCACAUUAUCAUAAGCCAUUCAAUUCAAAACAUAAUUUACAAUACAGCAAGUAGUCUCCAAUUACUCCAUUUUCAAGUCAUCAUUAAAUUUCAAAACAAUUUAUAAAAUCAUUUCAUUUAAACACAUUUUUCAUAAAAUUACAAAAUCGGAUAAAAACAUAAUUUAGAUAAUUAAGACGAUAAUAAAGUUACUCACUGUAAUGGGAAUUGAAUUCGGGAUACUCUGAUUCUUGAUCCUCGGAUUCUACCUCUUUACUCUUGCUAGAAUGCUCACCACCUAGACAUAAUGCACAAUAAGCAAUUUGCUACAUUUGUGCUAAACCGUUGUAAAACCAAUUCAGGCUCUAUACUAAUGCAUGAUAUGGGAUGUGAAAUACUCAGAUAACUAUCUAAAUACGGUGUUCAAUAUAAAUUCAAUUAUGUACCUAAAUAAAAUGGUAUUAGCCUAAUUCGAUCUAUCACCCAAUUAAUUGGCCAAUACGUCCAAUUCAACUCCAAACAAUUCCAUUUCUCUCCCAAUACUCCAAAUCAUUAAACACAAUUUAAAUAACUUGAAAUGUGGCAAAAUCAUCCUCACAUUUGUUCUUAAAAAAUUCGGCCAUGGUGAGUGCACUAACAAAUAUAAUUUUUUUAUGCUUGAUUCUCACACCAUAAAUCAUUCAUUCCUAAUCAAAUCACUUGAAAUUCGAUCAAAUUCAUCAUCAAUAUUCUACAUGGAAUAUUCGGCCAAUGAAGGUGAUGUAAGAACAUGAAUUUUUCUUACUUGCUUUUCAUACUACACAUCACCAAACAACUAAAAACACUAGAAUAACAUGUUUGCUAACUAAAUUCAUCAUCAAAUUCUCUCUCCUAAGGUUUGAUCAGCACACUAUCCUUCAUGAUAUCUUGUGAUUCAACCAUGAAAAAUGCAAAAUAAUGCAUAGAAAAGAUAGAUCACAAGCUAAAAUUAAGAAAUUUCACCUUUGAUGGCUUGAUUCCUUGAAAUUUGGUAAAUUUCUCUUGAAUUUCUUAGUUAGGGUUUUGUUCUUCUUCUUUUCUUCCCUUUUCUUCCUUUGGC